AUGCUUGCUGAGGAGCUCCGAGCUUGACAGCAGCGGUGAAUGCGGCAGCUGAGGGGGAGAAGAAGACAUGCAGCGACAGACAUUUUACCUGUCUGUCUGUCCGGCGAGAAGAAAGAAACGAGAGGAAAGAGAGCGCCGCUCUGGAGGGAACUAGGAAAGGAAAG
rnacentral:ribozyme from 1 species